UACGGAGGGUGCGAGCGUUAAUCGGAAUCACUGGGCGUAAAGCGCGCGUAGGCGGCUUUUCAAGUCAGGGGUGAAAUCCCACGGCCCAACCGUGGAACUGCCUUUGAAACUGUAGAGCUUGAGUGUCGGAGAGGGUGGCGGAAUUCCAGGUGUAGGAGUGAAAUCCGUAGAUAUCUGGAGGAACACCGGUGGCGAAGGCGGCCACCUGGAUGACAACUGACGCUGAGGUGCGAAAGCGUGGGUAGCAAACAGG
rnacentral:rRNA from 1 species